rnacentral:rRNA from 1 species
UUGCAUCGAUGAAAAACGCAGCAAAAUGCGAUAAGUAAUGUGAAUUGCAGAAUUCAAGUGAAUCAUCGAAUCUUUGAACGCACAUUGCGCCCGCCAGUACUCUGGCGGGCAUGCCUGUCUGAGCGUCAUUU